UUUCAUUCGUCUCACCAACAGCUGAUGUCUUUUGGUUUGUAUUUUUUUCAAAAUUCGUCCGUGUUUUAAUUUUCUCGAUUUUGUGCCGUCUUUUUGUCAAAUUGUUGACUUAUUAUUUGGUCGCUAGCUACGUAAGGAACUAACCGCAGACAAUAUCCCAACGAUGAAGCCUUUUAUACUGAUAAGGGAGUACCGGAAAACUGACGACAUCGCCAUACAGGAUUUGAUUAAGCAAUACAUAAUGAGUUAUGCGUUGUCGUGUUUCAUUCAAGUGCUGUUCAGAGAGAUUACGCUCCAGUUGGUUGUCCUCAUGUGGGCCAUUCUCUUCAUUUUUGUCGGAAUUCCGCUCCAUUUGUGCUUUCUUAGUAUUCCUGUAGUCAUAUUUUUGAUAGUUUUUUGCGUCUAUGCCGUGCAUUUCAACAAAGGGAUCGAACAGGCGAACGCCAAUCCCAAAUGCUGUUUCGUGGCAGAAGUGUACGAAGAGCCACUUGCAAUGCUGAACAAUAAUACGGAAAAAGUUGAAUAUAAUCUUUUGUUUAACGAAACGAAUGGAUAUGACGUUACCAAGUUACGGAAGAAGAUCAUUGGCACCAUCAGCGUGCGCAACCACGAGUCCCGCGACAAGUGCGGAUGGAUUUAUCGUUUCGCCAUGGACCGCAAAUACCCGUACGACAAAGUCGUCGAAGGUCUGACACGUCGCGCGAUCCAACAUUGCCCGUCACAGGGCUGGUAUCGCUUGGAAACUGUUGCCACGGAGUGCCAGGACGAAGUUCGCGAGUCUUACGCCAAACUUGGCUUCAACAUUUACCAAGUUUACCAUCGGCAAAUUGUCGGCAGCAGUUUAAGUGUCAUGAAAACCCAUUUGGGACUCGAUGUCGCGAAAUUUGUGCACCUGAAUUCGGGCCAUUCUUGAAAUCAGGCCGAAACACACAAAAGCAACGUUGUGGGCCAUUACAAGAAAAAUAUUAUUUUAGAUUACGUGCAUUACGGUGCUCGCAGUGAGAAAUUGCAAAAUAUUUGUUAACGCGAGACACGAAAAAAAAAACAAAACAAAAAAAAAAAACAAUACGAAACAUAUGAAAAUUAAUAAUAAUUGUUAGCGAAGUGAUGUUUGUUAGGAAACGAAUUAGCCUUAGAUGUUGAUGUUGAUACAAGCGUUUAUAGAUGUCUAAUUUUUUUAUAGAAUUAAGAAAGAUAUCAUUCCACGUUAGUUACGAGCUCAAUAUUUAUCAAAAAAAAAAAAAUAAUAAUUACAAAACUAAUUAAUGGACCAUCCUCUAUACUUGUUACCACCAUCCGUAAUUUUAAUUUUUAAACAAUAAUUUUUUAUAUCACUAAAGAAUCAAACACACUCACGCACACACUUGACAUACACACACGAGUUCCCGUUUGUGAAAGCAAAAAAAUUAAAUAAAAAUAAAUUAUCGCGUUAAUUUAUUAAAAUUUGCAGGAAAAAAAAUUAAAUAAAUAAAGAUAUGCAAUGAAUUUUACGUAAAUUCAGAGACGUAGCGUAAAAGGGCGAAAUAAGGGCAAAAUUUUGAUUUUUUUUAGA